UACGGAGGGUGCAAGCGUUAUCCGGAUUCACUGGGUUUAAAGGGCGCGUAGGCGGCCUUCUAAGUCGAACGUGAAAUCCCUGGGCUCAACCCAGGAACUGCGUCCGAUACUGGAAGGCUUGAAUCCGGGAGAGGGAUGUGGAAUUCCAGGUGUAGCGGUGAAAUGCGUAGAUAUCUGGAGGAACACCGGUGGCGAAGGCGACAUCCUGGACCGGUAUUGACGCUGAGGCGCGAAAGCCAGGGGAGCAAACGGG
rnacentral:rRNA from 1 species